GUGGGUCGAUGAAGAACGCAGCCAACUGCGAUAAGUAGUGUGAACUGCAGAAACCUUGAACACAAAACAUUCGAAUGCACAUUGCGCCAUUGGAGUAACAUCCAUUGGCACGCCUGGUUCAGGGU
rnacentral:rRNA from 1 species